CCAAUGUUUGACCUUCAACAAUAUCCUCAAGACUCCUCCAACGGACGAACCUUCACAAUGCCAUCCGAACCCCACUAUCGAUCGACCCUCUACCAGAUUCCUCAUGAAACUAGACUUCUCUAAUAGAAAGUCUCCAUCCGAGCUUCUACAAUAGAUGACUUCUGCCUGCAGCAUCAGUGUCCAAGGCACCCGACAACAGUGGACCUGUCAGUAACCUUGAAAACAUCCGAGCUUCUCUUAGAUUGCAGAGACAGAGAGCCACUCCGCUCCAUCAGACGUCCCAGUCGAGCUUCAGCCG
rnacentral:lncRNA from 1 species